UACGAAGGGGGCUAGCGUUGUUCGGAAUUACUGGGCGUAAAGCGCACGUAGGCGGAAUGUUAAGUCAGGGGUGAAAUCCCGGGGCUCAACCCCGGAACUGCCUUUGAUACUGGCAUUCUCGAGUCCGGAAGAGGUGAGUGGAAUUCCGAGUGUAGAGGUGAAAUUCGUAGAUAUUCGGAGGAACACCAGUGGCGAAGGCGGCGAUCUGGGUCGAUACUGACGCUGAGGUGCGAAAGCGUGGGGAGCAAACAGG
rnacentral:rRNA from 1 species